AGUUGGUCAGGUAACGGCUGACCAAGGCGACGAUGUCUAGGGGUUCUGAGAGGAAGGUCCCCCACACUGGAACUGAGACACGGUCCAGACUCCUACGGGAGGCAGCAGUGAGGAAUAUUGGACAAUGGUCGGAAGACUGAUCCAGCCAUGCCGCGUGAAGGUUACAGUCCUAUGGAUUUUAAACUUCUUUUAUAAGAGAGCAAUAAGGUGCACGCGUGCAUUGAUGAGAGUAUCUUAUGAAUAAGCAUCGGCUAACUCCGUGCCAGCAGCCGCGGUAAUACGGAGGAUGCAAGCGUUAUCCGGAUUUAUUGGGUUUAAAGGGUGCGUAGGCGGAUUGAUAAGUCAGCGGUGAAAUUCACAGGCUCAACCUGUGCCGUGCCGUUGAAACUGUCCAUCUGGAAUACGUAUGCUGUGGGAGGAAUGUGUAGUGUAGCGGUGAAAUGCAUAGAUAUUACACAGAACACCUAUUGCGAAGGCAUCUCACAAAGUCGUUAUUGACGCUGAGGCACGAAAGUGUGGGGAUCAAACAGGAUUAGAUACCCUGGUAGUCCACUACUGUAAACUAUGAUAACUCGCUGUCGGCGAUAUACUGUC
rnacentral:rRNA from 1 species